AUGAGAGCUUUAUUCUGGAAUAUUCGUGGUUUCGGUGCUACGGGGUGCCGUGACCAGAUUCAUGACUUGGUUUGUGGUGAACAUAUUGACAUUUUAGGGUUGGUCGAAACGUUUAAGGAAUCCUUUUCCCCUUCUGAACUCUAUGCGAUAGCUGGGAUGGAUAGGUUUGAUUGGCACUUUCUCCCUGCCUCGGGUCAUUCUGGGGGAAUCUUGAUUGGGUCCAAGCGGGACGUUUUUGAUCUCAUUGCUUUUGAUCAUGACAUCUUUUGGGCUAGCUGUGUGGUUCAUCAUCGUCAGCUCAAAACUCUGUGGGAAUUUAUGGUGGUAUACGGUCCUGCGGAUCACACGCUUGCUCCUCUCCUUUUGGAUGAACUGUCGAUUAAGAUUGAAGCUUGUAAUAUUCCUCUUUUAAUUGGGGGUGAUUUCAAUUUGUUACGUUCUCCGGCCGACAAGAACAAUCCUAAUUUCUCGGCCUCUUGCCAAUGCUUUUAA
rnacentral:rRNA from 1 species